AAGUCGUAACAAGGUUUCCGUAGGUGAACCUGCGGAAGGAUCAUUAACACGUAUCCAAACGUUAACCCCCCUGUGAACCUUUAGUGUGCUCGCACGCUUUGUCAGAGCGUGGCAAUCCCUAGUAAAUCAUCGCCGAACAGUUUUCGAUUUAGGGACUUCCACAAAGAGUGUGCUCGCAGCGCGAGGCAAGUGGCCUGGCAUUCCGAAGCAGUUGGUGUCUGAAAGUGUCACUGGCUGUGUAAGGAUGGCGCAGUCACGAUCGUUUGGAGGCCGACACGGCCGACGACCGGGUCACCGGGCUCACGCCCCUUAAUCACAACUUAAUGCAUGUCAGACGCGCCUGCGCUUAAUUGUGCGGCGACCAUAAAACUCGAACAACUGUUAACAAUGGAUAUCUUGGUUCUC
rnacentral:misc_RNA from 1 species